GGUGCAAGUGUUGUGCAACCUAAACAUAUAAAAAGAAGGUGGUCUGAUCAGGCUUUACAAAUACUGAGAAGAACAGAACAUUUGCAGCUCUACACCAGAUCUCACAUCCGCAUCAGCCAUGGUGAAGAUUGUCCCCAAGUCCAAAAGCAAAGCAGAUUUUUUGCGGCGUUGACAAAUAUUAUUAUAUUGUCAGGCCAGACCUCACUUGUUACAUGAGGGCAAACCAAUUUUAACCGUGAGAAGAAUCUGGAGGUGUUCAGCUUGCACCCCGCCUGCAGGAAAGGAGAUCAUACUUGGCCUUUGAAGAUGAUCACUUCUACAUCAUCCAGGGUAACAUUUACCGUCGAUUACAAACAUGAACACAGAUGAAGGUGCCGUUGUUUAUACCCGACACCCCAACUGUCAAGGAGUGAUCAUUAUUUAGCAGCUUUCGGAUACUUCUAUAUUAUUUUCCAAAGCCGUGGGGUCUAUCGCAGAACAACAAACAUGAACCAAAGAUGAAAAGGGGCGAAGAAUUCACGCUACACCCAGAAUGCAAAAACGGGCCUUUAUUAUUUUGGUGUAAAGGGUUACUACUAUUUUGGUGAAGCCUGACGACCAAUGGGGAAUUCAUACACAAGAUGUACCAACUUCAACACAAACGAGGGGUGCCGAAACCUUCUCUUCCAUACCAGCAUCUACAGCUUUCUGCCAGGAGGGUCUAGUGUCGCCAAAGGUCCAUCUCAUGGCGAGUGGGUGUGCAUCAAGACCAUCAGCAAAGACUCCCAGACCCCCGUUGAAUGGAAAAAUCGGGUCUCCCAAGAAUGUUGGUUUGAGGAGGACAGACGUCCAGUUUGGCAACACACUUGGAAAGUUGUCGGCAACCGUCUCGGCUGAGACAGAGGGUUGGGGUUCUCUGAUGCGAAGGCCCAGGUUGCACUUACAACUGAAUAUGGUGGUGUAGUACAAACAC